UGUCUGCUUGUGUGAGAACAUGUUCUGUCUCAAGACUUUCAGUGAGCACAAUUCCAAGUCUCUACACUUUUGGUUUGCUACAAAUCAUACUCUAGACCUUUAGGUUUUCUUUGUGUAUAAAUAAUUAUUUAUCACUUUUGUCUACAUCUGUCUGUGCUGGUGAUAUUGUAGAUUUAUUUACUCUCUGGUUGUACACAAAUUACUUAGACCUUAUAA